GGUUAAGCGACUAAGCGUACACGGUGGAUGCCCUGGCAGUCAGAGGCGAUGAAGGACGUGCUAAUCUGCGAUAAGCGCCGGUAAGGUGAUAUGAACCGUUAUAACCGGCGAUUUCCGAAUGGGGAAACCCAGUGUGAUUCGUCACACUAUCAUUAACUGAAUCCAUAGGUUAAUGAGGCGAACCGGGGGAACUGAAACAUCUAAGUACCCCGAGGAAAAGAAAUCAACCGAGAUUCCCCCAGUAGCGGCGAGCGAACGGGGAGGAGCCCAGAGCCUGAAUCAGCAUGUGUGUUAGUGGAAGCGUCUGGAAAGGCGCGCGAUACAGGGUGACAGCCCCGUACACAAAAGCGCAUGUGCUGUGAGCUCGAUGAGUAGGGCGGGACACGUGGUAUCCUGUCUGAAUAUGGGGGGACCAUCCUCCAAGGCUAAAUACUCCUGACUGACCGAUAGUGAACCAGUACCGUGAGGGAAAGGCGAAAAGAACCCCGGCGAGGGGAGUGAAAAAGAACCUGAAACCGUGUACGUACAAGCAGUGGGAGCACAGGUUUACCUGUGUGACUGCGUACCUUUUGUAUAAUGGGUCAGCGACUUAUAUUCUGUAGCAAGGUUAACCGUAUAGGGGAGCCGGAGGGAAACCGAGUCUUAAUUGGGCGUUAAGUUGCAGGGUAUAGACCCGAAACCCGGUGAUCUAGCCAUGGGCAGGUUGAAGGUUGGGUAACACUAACUGGAGGACCGAACCGACUAAUGUUGAAAAAUUAGCGGAUGACCUGUGGCUGGGGGUGAAAGGCCAAUCAAACCGGGAGAUAGCUGGUUCUCCCCGAAAGCUAUUUAGGUAGCGCCUCGUGAAUUCAUCUCCGGGGGUAGAGCACUGUUUCGGCUAGGGGGCCAUCCCGGCUUACCAACCCGAUGCAAACUGCGAAUACCGGAGAAUGUUAUCACGGGAGACACACGGCGGGUGCUAACGUCCGUCGUGAAGAGGGAAACAACCCAGACCGCCAGCUAAGGUCCCAAAGUCAUGGUUAAGUGGGAAACGAUGUGGGAAGGCCCAGACAGCCAGGAUGUUGGCUUAGAAGCAGCCAUCAUUUAAAGAAAGCGUAAUAGCUCACUGGUCGAGUCGGCCUGCGCGGAAGAUGUAACGGGGCUAAACCAUGCACCGAAGCUGCGGCAGCGAACGUAUCACCCAAGACAACUUUACGGAGUUGACGAUUGACGGAGCGAAGCGACGUCAAAGCGUUCAUUAAAGUCGAGUUGGCUUAGGGAUACGUUCGUUGGGUAGGGGAGCGUUCUGUAAGCCUGUGAAGGUGUGUCGUGAGGCAUGCUGGAGGUAUCAGAAGUGCGAAUGCUGACAUAAGUAACGAUAAAGCGGGUGAAAAGCCCGCUCGCCGGAAGACCAAGGGUUCCUGUCCAACGUUAAUCGGGGCAGGGUGAGUCGACCCCUAAGGCGAGGCCGAAAGGCGUAGUCGAUGGGAAACGGGUUAAUAUUCCCGUACUUGGUGUUACUGCGAAGGGGGGACGGAGAAGGCUAUGUUGGCCGGGCGACGGUUGUCCCGGUUUAAGCGUGUAGGUGUGUGUUCCAGGUAAAUCCGGUUCACUUUAACACUGAGGCGUGACGACGAGGCACUACGGUGCUGAAGCAACAAAUGCCCUGCUUCCAGGAAAAGCCUCUAAGCAUCAGGUAACACGAAAUCGUACCCCAAACCGACACAGGUGGUCAGGUAGAGAAUACCAAGGCGCUUGAGAGAACUCGGGUGAAGGAACUAGGCAAAAUGGUGCCGUAACUUCGGGAGAAGGCACGCUGACACGUAGGUGAAGUGAUUUACUCAUGGAGCUGAAGUCAGUCGAAGAUACCAGCUGGCUGCAACUGUUUAUUAAAAACACAGCACUGUGCAAACACGAAAGUGGACGUAUACGGUGUGACGCCUGCCCGGUGCCGGAAGGUUAAUUGAUGGGGUCAGCGUAAGCGAAGCUCCUGAUCGAAGCCCCGGUAAACGGCGGCCGUAACUAUAACGGUCCUAAGGUAGCGAAAUUCCUUGUCGGGUAAGUUCCGACCUGCACGAAUGGCGUAAUGAUGGCCAGGCUGUCUCCACCCGAGACUCAGUGAAAUUGAACUCGCUGUGAAGAUGCAGUGUACCCGCGGCAAGACGGAAAGACCCCGUGAACCUUUACUAUAGCUUGACACUGAACAUUGAGCCUUGAUGUGUAGGAUAGGUGGGAGGCUUUGAAGUGUGGACGCCAGUCUGCAUGGAGCCGACCUUGAAAUACCACCCUUUAAUGUUUGAUGUUCUAACGUGGACCCGUAAUCCGGGUUGCGGACAGUGUCUGGUGGGUAGUUUGACUGGGGCGGUCUCCUCCUAAAGAGUAACGGAGGAGCACGAAGGUUGGCUAAUCCUGGUCGGACAUCAGGAGGUUAGUGCAAUGGCAUAAGCCAGCUUGACUGCGAGCGUGACGGCGCGAGCAGGUGCGAAAGCAGGUCAUAGUGAUCCGGUGGUUCUGAAUGGAAGGGCCAUCGCUCAACGGAUAAAAGGUACUCCGGGGAUAACAGGCUGAUACCGCCCAAGAGUUCAUAUCGACGGCGGUGUUUGGCACCUCGAUGUCGGCUCAUCACAUCCUGGGGCUGAAGUAGGUCCCAAGGGUAUGGCUGUUCGCCAUUUAAAGUGGUACGCGAGCUGGGUUUAGAACGUCGUGAGACAGUUCGGUCCCUAUCUGCCGUGGGCGCUGGAGAACUGAGGGGGGCUGCUCCUAGUACGAGAGGACCGGAGUGGACGCAUCACUGGUGUUCGGGUUGUCAUGCCAAUGGCACUGCCCGGUAGCUAAAUGCGGAAGAGAUAAGUGCUGAAAGCAUCUAAGCACGAAACUUGCCCCGAGAUGAGUUCUCCCUGAGACUUAGAGUCUCCUGAAGGAACGUUGAAGACGACGACGUUGAUAGGCCGGGUGUGUAAGCGCAGCGAUGCGUUGAGCUAACCGGUACUAAUGAACCGUGAGGCUUAACCUUACA
rnacentral:rRNA from 1 species